GACGAACGCUGGCGGCGUGCUUAACACAUGCAAGUCGAGUGGUAAGGCCCUUUCGGGGGUACACGAGCGGCGAACGGGUGAGUAACACGUGGGUGACCUGCCCUCAGCUCUGGGAUAAGCCUGGGAAACUGGGUCUAAUACUGGAUAUGACUCCACGGUGCAUGUCGUGGGGUGGAAAGCCUUGUGCGGCUGAGGAUGGGCCCGCGGCCUAUCAGCUUGUUGGUGGGGUGANGGCCUACCAAGGCGACGACGGGUAGCCGGCCUGAGAGGGCGACCGGCCACACUGGGACUGAGACACGGCCCAGACUCCUACGGGAGGCAGCAGUGGGGAAUCUUGCGCAAUGGGCGAAAGCCUGACGCAGCGACGCCGCGUGAGGGAUGACGGCCU
rnacentral:rRNA from 1 species